rnacentral:rRNA from 1 species
UACGGGGGGGCAAGCGUUGUUCGGAAUUACUGGGCGUAAAGGGCUCGUAGGCGCCAACUAAGUCAGACGUGAAAUCCCUCGGCUUAACCGGGGAACUGCGUCUGAUACUGGAUGGCUUGAAUUCGGGAGAGGGAUGCAGAAUUCCAGGUGAUAGCGGUGAAAUGCGUAGAUAUCUGGAGGAAUACCGGUGGCGAAGGCGGCAUCCUGGACCGACAUUGACGCUGACGGAGCGAAAGCCAGGGGAGCAAACGGG